GGGCAUUCAGAAGGUUUGCUCUCUGGGCUACAAACAGAGAAUCUGAUUUCUCCUCAGCACCGCCCAGGGGAAAGUCCCCGGACCCGUGGCAGAAAGUGCCCUGGUUGGAUCCAGUGUUGACCUGCGUUACUCUAUCAGUGGCUAAGACGUUCAUGCGAACCGAGCCUUGAGAUCGCUUGUCGACUUUGUCAGAGUUCAUAGUAAUGCAAACAUUCUGCAUGUAACUCUUCAACAGAACGGGGCUCAUUCUCUGAAUGCG
rnacentral:RNase_MRP_RNA from 1 species